rnacentral:rRNA from 1 species
GUGGUGGAUUAGUGGCGAACGGGUGAGUAACACGUGGGCAAUCUGCCCUGCACUCUGGGACAAGCCCUGGAAACGGGGUCUAAUACCGGAUAUGACACGGGAUCGCAUGGUCUCCGUGUGGAAAGCUCCGGCGGUGCAGGAUGAGCCCGCGGCCUAUCAGCUUGUUGGUGGGGUGAUGGCCUACCAAGGCGACGACGGGUAGCCGGCCUGAGAGGGCGACCGGCCACACUGGGACUGAGACACGGCCCAGACUCCUACGGGAGGCAGCAGUGGGGAAUAUUGCACAAUGGGCGCAAGCCUGAUGCAGCGACGCCGCGUGAGGGAUGACGGCCUUCGGGUUGUAAACCUCUUUCAGCAGGGAAGAAGCGCGAGUGACGGUACCUGCAGAAGAAGCACCGGCUAACUACGUGCCAGCAGCCGCGGUAAUACGUAGGGUGCGAGCGUUGUCCGGAAUUAUUGGGCGUAAAGAGCUCGUAGGCGGCUUGUCGCGUCGGAUGUGAAAGCCCGGGGCUUAACCCCGGGUCUGCAUUCGAUACGGGCAGGCUAGAGUUCGGCAGGGGAGAUUGGAAUUCCUGGUGUAGCGGUGAAAUGCGCAGAUAUCAGGAGGAACACCGGUGGCGAAGGCGGAUCUCUGGGCCGAUACUGACGCUGAGGAGCGAAGC